rnacentral:rRNA from 1 species
CCUACGGGUGGCAGCAGUGGGGAAUAUUGCACAAUGGGGGAAACUCUGAUGCAGCCACGCCGCGUGAAGGAAGACGGUUUUCGGAUUGGUAACUUCUGUUCUUAGUGAAGAAUAAUGACGGUAGCUAAGGAGCAAGCAACGGCUAACUGAGUGCCAACAGCCGCGGUAAUACGGAGGUGGCAAGCGUUGUCCGGAAUUACUGGGUGUAAAGGGAGCGUAGGCGGGAAGCCAAGUCAGCUGUGAAAACUACGGGCUUAACUUGUAGACUGCAGUUGAAACUGGUUUUCUUGAGUGAAGUAGAGGUUGGCGGAAUUCCGGGUGUAGCGGUGAAAUGCUUAGAUAUUCGGAGGAACACCGGUGGCGAAGGCGGCCAACUGGGCUUUAUCUGACGCUGAGGCUCGAAAGUGUGGGGAGCAAACAGGAUUAGAUACCCCAGUAGUC